rnacentral:rRNA from 1 species
UACGUAGGGUGCGAGCGUUAAUCGGAAUUACUGGGCGUAAAGCGUGCGUAGGCGGUUCGUUAAGUCAGACGUGAAAUCCCCAGGCUCAACUUGGGAACUGCGUCUGAUACUGGAUGGCUUGAAUUCGGGAGAGGGAUGCAGAAUUCCAGGUGUAGCGGUGAAAUGCGUAGAUAUCUGGAGGAAUACCGGUGGCGAAGGCGGCAUCCUGGACCGAGAUUGACACUGAUGAGCGAAAGCUAGGGGAGCAAACGGG